rnacentral:lncRNA from 1 species
AAUGGGUGUGAUCUGGACUAUUGAUUAAAUAAAUGGCCAGAAAUGAUACCGAAAGGGUGCAACCUUUGGAAAGGUAACUGCCCCUUCUCCUAUAUAAGGAAGGCAAGUCCGUAUAGUCGGAUUAAACAAUCUAAUACCAAAACUGGUGUGAAGGCAGCAAAGAGGCAGUUUUAUGGGCAAUCGAAGGGGAAGUUGUAAAUGACCCUUUGAUGGUGUUUGAUCAUGUAUGAUCACGCCCUAGGCUUCCUAUAUGUCUUGGAAGCACAUGAAAAAGUUCAGGAGAGAAGGGAGAAGGCCGGACUCCACUCUCAAUGGCAUGAACAGCCUUGAAGGUGGAUGCAGUGUAAAAAGUGUUUUCAUGGGAGUUCAAUGGAAGGGACCAUUUGUGCGGCCCAUGGAGAGAUCUUAUCAAUCCUGGAAGUAUAUGAUAAGGCUUGAUAUAUGCUUGCUCUAGAAGAGCAUGGCUGAACAUAAUAAGACUUGAUAUAUGCUUAUCAAAUGGAAUUAGAUUCUCUGAAUGGACCUUGUGUAGGAACCUUGAGUAUUGGUGGUGUGGAAUCACACAUAAGCCAUCAGAAACAUACCCAAACCAAUUACGGAUAAGUUCGAGUAUGACAAUCGGAACACGGACAAACCAAGCUCGAUCAU